GAUGAACGCUGACAGAAUGCUUAACGCAUGCAAGUCUUUGGCGAAGCUGUGCUCUCACAGCCUAGCCAAGGCGGACGGGUGAGUAACGCGUAAGGAACUUGCCCUGCAGUCAGGGAUAACAGACGGAAACGACUGAUAAGACCUGGUAAAGUCAGGCGGACUCAUGUCCAGCCUGAUGAAAAGAGAUGCUGCAGGAGAGCCUUGCGUCCUAUUAGCUUGUUGGUGGGGUAACGGCCCACCAAGGCGAUGAUAGGUAGCCGGCCUGAGAGGGUGGACGGCCACAAGGGGACUGAGAUACGGCCCUUACUCCUACGGGAGGCAGCAGUGGGGAAUAUUGGACAAUGGGGGCAACCCUGAUCCAGCAAUUCUGUGUGCACGAUGAAGGUUUUCGGAGUGUAAAGUGCUUUCAGCAGGGAAGAAAAAAAUGACGGUACCUGCAGAAGAAGCGACGGCUAAAUACGUG
rnacentral:rRNA from 1 species